rnacentral:rRNA from 1 species
GACGAACGCUGGCGGCGUGCCUAAUACAUGCAAGUCGAACGCUUCUUUCCUCCCGAGUGCUUGCACUCAAUUGGAAAGAGGAGUGGCGGACGGGUGAGUAACACGUGGGUAACCUACCCAUCAGAGGCGGAUAACACUUGGAAACAGGUGCUAAUACCGCAUAACAGUUUAUGCCGCAUGGCAUAAGGGUGAAAGGCGCUCUCGGAUGUCGUUGAUGGAUGCACCCGCGGUGCAUUAGCUAGUUGGUGAGGUAACGGCUCACCAAGGCAACGAUGCAUAGCCGACCUGAGAGGGUGAUCGGCCACACUGGAACUGAGACACGGCCCAGACUCCUACGGGAGGCAGCAGUAGGGAAUCUUCGGCAAUGGGCGAAAGCCUGACGGAGCAACGCCGCGUGAGUGAAGAAGGUUUUCGGAUCGUAAAACUCUGUUAUUAGGGAAGAACAAGUAUGUAAGUAACUGAGCGUCCCUUGACGGUACCUAACCAGAAAGCCACGGCUAACUACGUG